rnacentral:rRNA from 1 species
GACGAACGCUGGCGGCGUGCUUAACACAUGCAAGUCGAACGGAAAGGCCCUGCUUUUGUGGGGUGCUCGAGUGGCGAACGGGUGAGUAACACGCGAGUAACCUGCCCUUGACUUUGGGAUAACUCUAGGAAACUGGGGCUAAUACCGGAUAGGAGCUCUUGCUGCACGGGGGGGGUUGGAAAGUUUCGGCGGUUGGGGCUGGACUCGCGGGUUAUCAGCUUGUUUGUGGGGUAGGGGCUUACAAAGGCUUUGACGGGUAGCCGGCCUGAGAGGGUGACCGGCCACAUUGGGACUAAGAUACGGCCCAGACUGCUACGGGAGGCAGCAGUGGGGAAUAUUGCAGAAUGGGCGGAAGCCUGAUGCAGCAACGCCGCGUGCGGGAUGACGGCCUUCGGGUUGUAAACCGCUUUCGCCUGUGACGAAGCGUGAGUGACGGUAAUGGGUAAAGAAGCACCGGCUAACUACGUG